rnacentral:rRNA from 1 species
AUAAUGCAAGUCGAGCGAAUGGAUUAAGAGCUUGCUCUUAUGAAGUUAGCGGCGGACGGGUGAGUAACACGUGGGUAACCUGCCCAUAAGACUGGGAUAACUCCGGGAAACCGGGGCUAAUACCGGAUAACAUUUUGAACCGCAUGGUUCGAAAUUGAAAGGCGGCUUCGGCUGUCACUUAUGGAUGGACCCGCGUCGCAUUAGCUAGUUGGUGAGGUAACGGCUCACCAAGGCAACGAUGCGUAGCCGACCUGAGAGGGUGAUCGGCCACACUGGGACUGAGACACGGCCCAGACUCCUACGGGA